GAUGAACGCUAGCGGGAGGCCUAACACAUGCCAGCCGAGCGGUAGAGUUUCUUCGGAAACUUGAGAGCGGCGCACGGGUGCGUAACACGUGUGCAACCUACCUUUAUCUGGGGGAUAGCCUUUCGAAAGGAAGAUUAAUACCCCAUAAUAUAAUGAUUGGCAUCAAUUAUUAUUGAAAACUCCGGUGGAUAGAGAUGGGCACGCGCAAGAUUAGAUAGUUGGUGAGGUAACGGCUCACCAAGUCAAUGAUCUUUAGGGGUCCUGAGAGGGAGAUCCCCCACACUGGUACUGAGACACGGACCAGACUCCUACGGGAGGCAGCAGUGAGGAAUAGUGGACAAUGGGUGAGAGCCUGAUCCAGCCAUCCCGCGUGAAGGAGGACGGUCCUAUGGAUUGUAAACUUCUUUUGUACAGGGAUAAACCUACCCUCGUGAGGGUAGCUGAAGGUACUGUACGAAUAAGCACCGGCUAACUCCGUG
rnacentral:rRNA from 1 species